UACGGAGGGUGCAAGCGUUAUCCGGAUUCACUGGGUUUAAAGGGUGCGUAGGAGGGCAGGUAAGUCAGUGGUGAAAUCUCCAAGCUUAACUUGGAAACUGCCGUUGAUACUAUCUGUCUUGAAUAUUGUGGAGGUGAGCGGAAUGUAUCAUGUAGCGGUGAAAUGCUUAGAUAUGAUACAGAACACCAAUUGCGAAAGCAGCUUACUAUGCUAGUAUUGACGCUGAGGCACGAAAGCGUGGGGAUCAAACAGG
rnacentral:rRNA from 1 species